rnacentral:piRNA from 1 species
UCCCAAUCUACAAAGUUCAAAAGUGAGGGC